GGGGUCGACUGCCUUUGUAGUUUGGAUUAAUCGAGUUUGGGAAGGCAUUUCUCAGUGCUUGAUAACUGGAUUCGUUUGAAAUUUUGAGAGUAUCAAGAUUUGUAAGCUAAGCUUUGAAGGGCACAAGUUUCGCUGGAUUUGAAGACAAUUUGAAUUUUUAGCGAAUUUCUAAGUGAAGGGGGUUGGUCGCCGCGGCAGUUUGGAUCACUCAACUUCAAAGGAGCAAUUCUCACGACUGGAUCACUAGAUUGCAAUGAGAUU
rnacentral:lncRNA from 1 species